CCUACGGGAGGCUGCAGUGAGGAAUAUUGGUCAAUGGACGCAAGGCUGAACCAGCCAUGCCGCGUGCAGGAAGACGGCUCUAUGAGUUGUAAACUGCUUUUGUACGAGGGUAAACGCAGAUACGCGUAUAUGUCUGAGAGUAUCUGAAGAAUAAGCAUCGGCUAACUCCGUGCCAGCAGCCGCGGUAAUACGGAGGAUUCAAGCGUUAUCCGGAUUUAUUGGGUUUAAAGGGUGCGUAGGCGGUGGGAUAAGUCAGGGGUGAAAUCCCGGGGCUUAACUUCGGACGUGCGGCUGAUACUGUUCGGCUAGAGAGUAGUUGCGGUAGGCGGAAUGUAUGGUGUAGCGGUGAAAUGCUUAGAGAUCAUACAGAACACCGAUUGCGAAGGCAGCUUACCAAGCUACUUCUGACGUUGAGGCACGAAAGCGUGGGGAGCAAACAGGAUUAGAUACCCUGGUAGUC
rnacentral:rRNA from 1 species